rnacentral:rRNA from 1 species
AUUGAACGCUGGCGGCAUGCCUUACACAUGCAAGUCGAACGGUAACAGGUCUUCGGAUGCUGACGAGUGGCGAACGGGUGAGUAAUGUAUCGGAACGUGCCCAGUCGUGGGGGAUAACUGCUCGAAAGAGCAGCUAAUACCGCAUACGACCUGAGGGUGAAAGCGGGGGAUCGCAAGACCUCGCGCGAUUGGAGCGGCCGAUAUCAGAUUAGGUAGUUGGUGGGGUAAAGGCCUACCAAGCCUACGAUCUGUAGCUGGUCUGAGAGGACGACCAGCCACACUGGGACUGAGACACGGCCCAGACUCCUACGGGAGGCAGCAGUGGGGAAUUUUGGACAAUGGACGCAAGUCUGAUCCAGCCAUGCCGCGUGCGGGAAGAAGGCCUUCGGGUUGUAAACCGCUUUUGUCAGGGAAGAAAAGGUUCUGGUUAAUACCUGGGACUCAUGACGGUACCUGAAGAAUAAGCACCGGCUAACUACGUGCCAGCAGCCGCCGUAACAC